AGGAGAUCUUGCUGGAGAUCCCUGUCUAUCUGAGACUUUCAAAAGAACACUGAUGAGGCUGAGCAACCAUAGCAUGCAAACUCCUCCUUGUGAAGACUAAGGAAUAAUGGAUGCAAUGAGAGCUUCAAGUGAAUGCAUCUUGAAAAAUGUAAGUUACAAAGGCUACUACUAAAUGGAACACUCAGCAAUAUCUCUUUUCAGUCAAAAAUUCAGAUUAUUUUGCCUCCAUGUCAAUCUGCCUGCAGAUCUUCUGAUUCUACAGAGACACAUAGGGCUCUUGCUUGGACAGAUUAUCACAGCAGGCAGAUAAACAAUAGAACUAUUUUUAAAACUUCACAUUUCUCAAAUCUGUUUUCACCUGGUACUCAGCUGUUGCACCCACACUU